UUUCAUUUUCAGCAGUAUUGAUUCUUAACCAUGUCAAAUACAACAACUUCAUCAACUCGAAAGGAUAUUGCUUGGAAUUAUGCAACAUGUUCGGAUCCUAAAAACCCAAAUGUUGUUGGUUGUAUUUUCUGUGAUAAAAUAACAAAUGGUGGAAUUUAUCGACACAAGCUACAUUUAGUUGGGGGCAAUAGAAAUGUAAAAGCUUGUCCGAAAUGUCCCGAGCAUGUUAAAGAAGAAAUUAGAGAGUUCAUGCAAAAAAAGAGUAAUUUGAAGAAUCAAAUGGAUGAAAUUCCUCAUUCUGAUGAUGUUGAUAAUUUGGAAGAUUUGGAAGAACAUGAAGAAGAUGAUCAUCAAACUAAAGUGAAAGGGAAACGACCAAUAUCUGAUUCAAGCAACCAUCCUACGGUCCAAGGUAAAAAGUGCAAACAAACUGGACCUAUUAACCUUUAUUUUAUGAAAGAUGUCGAUGAAAUUGUCAAGCAAAGACGUGCAAAAAAUAAAGGACAAUUUGAUGAAAAUAAAAAGAAGUUAAGAGAUAUUGCAGUUGAGAAAUUUGCAAGAUGGAUGUAUGAUGCUGGAAUUCCCUUCAAUGCUGUAAAAUAUGAUUCUUUUGAGCCUUGUAUUGAAGCUAUUGGACAAUUUGGAUCAGGGAUGAAACCUCCAUCAUAUCAUGAAGUGAGGGUUAAGUAUUUGAAGAAGGAGUUGGCAAAUACGAACUCGCUUCUCAAAUCCCAUGAAGAAGAUCAUGCUAAGUUUGGGUGCACAAUCAUGGCAGAUGGAUGGACCGAUAAAAAGGGUAGGACUCUUAUAAAUUUUUUGGUGAAUGGUCCCAAAGGAAGUGUAUUUGUCGAAUCAGUUGAUGCUUCAGGCUAUUCUCACACAGCGGACAAGAUGUUUGAGUUACUCUCUAAAUUUGUGUAUCGCAUUGGAGAAAAAAAUGUGGUUUAAAUUGUAACAGAUAAUCCAUGCUGUAAUGUCAGUGCAGGUGAUAUUUUAAAUUUUUGUUACUUUCAAGUUUCAAUUAUAAUUGAAUUAUAUUUUUAAUAUUUUUUAUUAAAUUUAUUUGUUUUUUCAGGUCGUCUUUUGGAAAACCGAUUUCCACACUUGUACUGGACUCCCUGUGCAGCACAUUGUUUAGAUUUGUUGCUCGAGGAUAUAUUCAAAAUUCCUCAUCUCAGAAAAUUGCAUGAACGAGCGUUGAUGGUUAAUGGUUAUAUUUACAACAGACCACAAGUAUUGAGCAUGAUGAGAGAGUUUACUGGACAGAGAGACAUGGUAAGAACCGCAAAGACACGUUUCGCAACCGCUUUUUUAACUUUAAAGCGAUUUCAUGUACAACAAGCAAAUUUGAGAAAGAUGUUUACAUCUGAAAAGUGGGCAAAUAGUCGAUUUUCUAAGGAGGUUGCAGGAAAACGUGUAGCAGAAGUGAUAUUGAUGCCUUCUUUUUGGAAAAAUAUGGUUUUUGCAUUAAAGGUUGGUGGCCCAUUGGUGAAAGUAUUACGGCUGGUAGAUGGUGAAAAAAGGUCUCCUAUGGGUUAUAUCUAUGAGUCAAUGGACAGGGCCAAAGAAGCUAUCGCUGCAUCAUUUAACAAUAAUGAAGAGAAAUAUCGUAGCAUUUUUGAACUCAUUGACAAAAGAUGGAACAUUCAACUCCAUCGACCUUUGCACGCAGCUGGAUAUUUCUUGAAUCCAGAGUGUUUUUACUCAAACUCUGAUAUAGAAAAUGAUACAGAAGUGAUGGAGGGUUUGUACAAGUGCAUAUCCAGAUUAGUGAGAGGUGAGGAUUUACAAGAUAAGAUCACGAAUCAAUUGGAAAAAUACAAGAAAGCAGAAGGACUUUUUGGUUUGCCAAUGGCUAUCCGACAAAGAACUUUAAAAUCACCAGCUGAUUGGUGGUCUUCUUAUGGUGCAUCAACUCCUGAAUUAAAAACUUUUGCAAUGAAGAUUUUAAACCUCACAUGCUCUUCUUCAGGCUGUGAACGUAAUUGGAGUGUUUUUGAACAUGUAAGUUGGAAUUUUUUUUAUACAUAUUAAAACUUAUAUUAUGAACUUAACCUUUUACUUUUUAAUUUUGUUUUGUAGAUGCAUUCUAAGAAAAGAAAUAGGUUGUCUCAACAACGAUUGAAUGAUUUGGUAUAUAUCAAGUACAAUAGAGCUUUGAGGAGAAGAUAUGACAUGCGAGACAAAAUUGAUCCUAUUACUUUGUCAGAGAUAGAUGAUAGUAAUGAAUGGUUGUUGGGUAAAUUGGAUGACAGUGAUAAAGACAAUGAUAAUGAUUUUGUCUACGAAGGUGAAGAUUUGCGUUGGAGUGAUGUAGCACGAGCAUCUGGGGUUGGUGAAAGUGCAUAUGGCUUUCGAUCUCGAAAUGCAGCUUCUUCAAAAGGGGCAUCAUUAUCUGCAUCAGCAAAAAGAAAACUAUCUUCAGCUCAAACUAGUCUUGUUAAUGAAAAAGAAAUUAAUCUUGAUGAUGAAACUGAAGAAGAGGAUGGAUACAAAUCAAGCGAUGGAGCUGAUGACGUAGAUUUGGACAAUGAAGAUGAAGAAGAUGAUUAUUUUGAUAUUUGAUAUUUCCUCUAUUAUAUUUUCAAAGACUUGUGAUUUUCAAUAAUCUACAACUUCAUCAAAGAAUAUUUGUUUUGGUUAUUUGGAUUUUCAAAGACAUUUUGAAAGAUUUUUAAUAAAUAUAAGAGUCAUAUUGUUUAUUACGCUUUUUUUCCAUAAAGCCCGCGCUUCGCCUUGCGCUUUAAGCCCCAAGACCCUUGAGCGCUUUUUUGCGCCUCUCGCUUUUGAUAACUAUGGAUAAAAACUUAACCAAUUGAAGGCGCCUUAAACCCUCUUGAAGGCACCUUCCAUCCUUGGAUAAGAUUUUCUAGGAGUGAUAAAAUGACCCUGGAGGUAGGAAAUAAAUAACAAUUGUAACUACAACUCUUGUAAUCUUUCCUAAUCUAUUUUCUGAGCUGUCAACGUCUAUAAGAGACUUCUCCGCCUGUAACGAAGGAGAUCUACUAGUGCUCUUCAGUGCCUUGGAUUAAUAAUCAUUUAGGUUGUAAUUAAGUUAAUUUCUUGGUCUCUUCUAUUUUUAGUUGUUCAAUUUCUUUUGUUAUAAUUGUGCUACUAAUCCGAGUUGAGAGAUUGGGAAAGGUUAAUUUUUAUUUUAUAGGCAAUUCACUCCGCUCUUGCUUGCCUCGCUUGAAGAAAAUUCCGAGAGACACGUUUAAGAUGGUACGGACAUGUACACGACCAAUAAUGUUCCAGUUAGGCGAUGUGAAACUAUGACAAAUGUCCAUAUCAAACAAGGAAGAGGAAGACCAAAAAAGACUUGGUUAGCAAUAAUAAAACAAGAUAAAAUUUAUUUAAAUAUAAAUGAUGAUAUAGUAGGGGAUCAAGAUCAAUGACGUAGAAAGAUCCAUGUAACCAACCUCAUCUAGUGGGAUAAAGAUUGAUUGUUGUUUUAUUAGAAGUUAGUGGAGAGGACAUGGAGUUUCAUUGCUUACACUAGACAUAAUUUCUUAUAUUGUACUCUUCUAGCCUACAAAUUGCAUGAACAUAUGCUCUAUAGUUUGCAAGUGCAAAACAGCACUAUCAGUGUGACUGAAAUUUAUUAUUUUGAUUAUGGACUGAUAUUGAUACUUUAUUAGAACAAGUAAAUGUCAUUGUGUCUCUGCUGACAUAGUUUUGUUGGUAACAACCAAAAUAAGAUCUGUCUUGGUGUACCUUUAGAAAUAUUUUCAUGACUCAUACUUUGAUUUUGUUUGUCAGUCAUGAGAAUGAGAUGAAACACUAAAUUUAGAGAGGAAGGAAAGAGAAGAAUUAGUGAGUGACACUAGUUAAGACAUGAAGAUUCUUAUCCUUCGAUUUGUCUGGGGUUAUGGAAGGAAAUAAAAACACAAGAAAGAGAAGGGUAAGGAAGAGGAGAUGAACUAGCAAAACACUAAUAAUAACAAAAAGGAGUAACAAGAAUUAUGUUAGUCUUAAGUCCAAGUCCAUUCCUAGUGGCUAAUAAAAAUGUAUCAAUGGAGAUGUGAAAAAAAAUUUCUGAGAGUAUUAUUUGUAUGGUUCUUAAAAGUUAUGGAAUUAAUCUAAAUAAAUGUUGCAAAUCCCAUGCGCUUAUCUAAUGUAAAAAGAUGCUUGUUAUAUUUUUGUAAGAUGUUGCUCCAAAAUUAUAAUUUACUUUCAAUAUCU